rnacentral:rRNA from 1 species
CCUUUUGUAGAAUGAACCGGCGAGUUACGAUCUGAUGCAAGGUUAAGCAGAAAAUGUGGAGCCGUAGCGAAAGCGAGUCUGAAUAGGGCGAAUGAGUAUUUGGUCGUAGACCCGAAACCAGGUGAUCUACCCUUGGUCAGGUUGAAGUUCAGGUAACACUGAAUGGAGGACCGAACCGACUUACGUUGAAAAGUGAGCGGAUGAACUGAGGGUAGCGGAGAAAUUCCAAUCGAACUUGGAGAUAGCUGGUUCUCUCCGAAAUAGCUUUAGGGCUAGCCUCAAGUGAUGAUUAUUGGAGGUAGAGCACUGUUUGGACGAGGGGCCCCUCUCGGGUUACCGAAUUCAGACAAACUCCGAAUGCCAAAUAAUUUAACUUGGGAGUCAGAAUGUGGGUGAUAAGGUCCAUAUUCGAAAGGGAAACAGCCCAGACCACCAGCUAAGGUCCCAAAAUAUAUGUUAAGUGGAAAAGGAUGUGGCGUUGCCCAGACAACUAGGAUGUUGGCUUAGAAGCAGCCAUCAUUUAAAGAGUGCGUAAUAGCUCACUAGUCGAGUGACACUGCGCCGAAAAUGUACCGGGGCUAAACAUAUUACCGAAGCUGUGGAUUGUCCGUAGGACAAUGGUAGGAGAGCGUUCUAAGGGCGUUGAAGCAUGAUCGCAAGGACAUGUGGAGCGCUUAGAAGUGAGAAUGCCGGUGUGAGUAGCGAAAGACGGGUGAGAAUCCCGUCCACCGAUUGACUAAGGUUUCCAGAGGAAGGCUCGUCCGCUCUGGGUUAGUCGGGUCCUAAGCUGAGGCCGACAGGCGUAGGCGAUGGAUAACAGGUUGAUAUUCCUGUACCACCUAAAUUCGUUUUAAGCGAUGGGGGGACGCAGUAGGAUAGGCGAAGCGUGCUGUUGGAGUGCACGUCUAAGCAGUGAGAUUGAGUGUUAGGCAAAUCCGGCACUCGUAAAGAUUGAGCUGUGAUGGGGAGAAGAAAUUCGUUUCUUCGAGUCGUUGAUUUCACACUGCCGAGAAAAGCCUCUAGCUAGAAAAUAGGUGCCCGUACCGCAAACCGACACAGGUAGUCAAGAUGAGAAUUCUAAGGUGAGCGAGCGAACUCUCGUUAAGGAACUCGGCAAAAUGACCCCGUAACUUCGGGAGAAGGGGUGCUCUUUAGGGUUCACGCUCUGAAGAGCCGCAGUGAAUAGGCCCAAGCGACUGUUUAUCAAAAACACAGGUCUCUGCUAAACCGUAAGGUGACGUAUAGGGGCUGACGCCUGCCCGGUGCUGGAAGGUUAAGAGGAGUGGUUAGCUUCUGCGAAGCUACGAAUCGAAGCCCCAGUAAACGGCGGCCGUAACUAUAACGGUCCUAAGGUAGCGAAAUUCCUUGUCGGGUAAGUUCCGACCCGCACGAAAGGCGUAACGAUUUGGGCACUGUCUCAACGAGAGACUCGGUGAAAUCAUAGUACCGGUGAAGAUGCCGGUUACCCGCGACAGGACGGAAAGACCCCGUGGAGCUUUACUGUAGCCUGAUAUUGAAAUUCGGUACAGUUUGUACAGGAUAGGUAGGAGCCUUAGAAGCGUGAGCGCUAGCUUACGUGGAGGCAUUGGUGGGAUACUACCCUAAUUGUAUUGGAUUUCUAACCCGCAGCACUUAUCGUGCUGGGAGACAGUGUCAGGCGGGCAGUUUGACUGGGGCGGUCGCCUCCUAAAGAGUAACGGAGGCGCUCAAAGGUUCCCUCAGAAUGGUUGGAAAUCAUUCAUAGAGUGUAAAGGCAUAAGGGAGCUUGACUGCGAGACCUACAAGUCGAGCAGGGUCGAAAGACGGACUUAGUGAUCCGGUGGUUCCGCAUGGAAGGGCCAUCGCUCAACGGAUAAAAGCUACCCCGGGGAUAACAGGCUUAUCUCCCCCAAGAGUUCACAUCGACGGGGAGGUUUGGCACCUCGAUGUCGGCUCAUCGCAUCCUGGGGCUGUAGUCGGUCCCAAGGGUUGGGCUGUUCGCCCAUUAAAGCGGUACGCGAGCUGGGUUCAGAACGUCGUGAGACAGUUCGGUCCCUAUCCGUCGUGGGCGUAGGAAAUUUGAGAGGCGCUGUCCUUAGUACGAGAGGACCGGGAUGGACAUACCUCUGGUGUACCAGUUGUCGCGCCAGCGGCAUAGCUGGGUAGCUAUGUAUGGACGGGAUAAGUGCUGAAAGCAUCUAAGCAUGAAGCCCCCCUCGAGAUGAGAUUUCCCAACUUCGGUUAUAAGAUCCCUCAAAGAUGAUGAGGUUAAUAGGUUCGAGGUGGAAGCGUAGUGAUACGUGGAGCUGACGAAUACUAAUCGAUCGAAGACUUAAUCAAAUU